GAUGAACGCUGGCGGCGUGCUUAACACAUGCAAGUCGAACGAUGAAGCUCAGCUUGCUGGGUGGAUUAGUGGCGAACGGGUGAGUAACACGUGAGUAACCUGCCCUUAACUCUGGGAUAAGCCUGGGAAACUAGGUCUAAUACCGGAUAGGAGCGCCUACCGCAUGGUGGGUGUUGGAAAAAUUUAUCGGUUUUGGAUGGAUUCGCGGCCUAUCAGCUUGUUGGUGAGGUAAUGGCUCACCAAGGCGACGACGGGUAGCCGGCCUGAGAGGGUGACCGGCCACACUGGGACUGAGACACGGCCCAGACUCCUACGGGAGGCAGCAGUGGGGAAGAUUGCACAAUGGGCGAAAGCCUGAUGCAGCGACGCCGCGUGAGGGAUGACGGCCUUCGGGUUGUAAACCUCUUUUAGUAGGGAAGAAGCGAGAGUGACGGUACCUGCAGAAGAAGCACCGGCUAACUACGUG
rnacentral:rRNA from 1 species